UUUGUACUCCCUCCGUCCCAAAAUUUGUCUAAAUACGGAUGUAUCUAGUUACAUUUUAGUGUUAGAUACAUCCUUAUCUAAACAAAUGUAAGACAAGAAUUUUGGGAUGGAGGGAAUACUAC
rfam:Triticum aestivum genome assembly, contig: Triticum_aestivum_CS42_TGACv1_scaffold_222137_3B